rnacentral:rRNA from 1 species
GGAGGGUGCAAGCGUUAAUCGGAAUUACUGGGCGUAAAGCGCACGCAGGCGGUCUGUCAAGUCGGAUGUGAAAUCCCCGGGCUCAACCUGGGAACUGCAUUCGAAACUGGCAGGCUUGAGUCUCGUAGAGGGGGGUAGAAUUCCAGGUGUAGCGGUGAAAUGCGUAGAGAUCUGGAGGAAUACCGGUGGCGAAGGCGGCCCCCUGGACGAAGACUGACGCUCAGGUGCGAAAGCGUGGGGAGCAAAC